GCCUGGCUAGCUCAGUUGGUAGAGUAUGAGACUGUCAAUCUCAGGGUCGUGGGUUUGAGCCUCACAUAGGGCA
rfam:Corvus brachyrhynchos isolate BGI_N302 unplaced genomic scaffold scaffold17, whole genome shotgun sequence.